AGAUUUAGGUUACACACCCAAACCAUAGGCCUUCAAAGCCUAAAACAGGGCCAACAGCCCUAAUUUCUG
rnacentral:tRNA from 1 species